rnacentral:rRNA from 1 species
GACGAACGCUGGCGGCGUGCCUAAUACAUGCAAGUCGAACGCCUUUUCUUUCACCGGAGCUUGCUCCAUCGAAAGAAAAAGAGUGGCGAACGGGUGAGUAACACGUGGGUAACCUGCCCAUCAGAAGGGGAUAACACUUGGAAACAGGUGCUAAUACCGUAUAACACUAUUUUCCGCAUGGAAGAAAGUUGAAAGGCGCUUUUGCGUCACUGAUGGAUGGACCCGCGGUGCAUUAGCUAGUUGGUGAGGUAACGGCUCACCAAGGCAACGAUGCAUAGCCGACCUGAGAGGGUGAUCGGCCACACUGGGACUGAGACACGGCCCAGACUCCUACGGGAGGCAGCAGUAGGGAAUCUUCGGCAAUGGACGAAAGUCUGGCCGAGCAACGCCGCGUGAGUGAAGAAGGUUUUCGGAUCGUAAAACUCUGUUGUUAGAGAAGAACAAGGAUGAGAGUAAAAUGUUCAUCCCUUGACGGUAUCUAACCAGAAAGCCACGGCUAACUACGUGCCAGCAGCCGCCGUAA